rnacentral:lncRNA from 1 species
AACCAAGUUGUUAUAAGGUAAGAUGUGACCACUGCGAAGUCCCAAAUAGGUCAACUUAUUGAAGUCAUACAAGUUUUGGCUAGAGGACAAGAGGAAAUCUGUCAGGCUAAUUUGAGAGUCGUCGUUGUUAACCCUGUUGUUGUGACAAUACCAGUAAAUCCACUAGGAGGAGCUGGUACACCUGUCGUGAUUCAACCACCUCCCAAAAGAGGUCUAGUGUAUCAAAAUACUACUCAGACGUUCAACAUCCCUGUCAGUGGGAGAGCUUAACCUGAG